rnacentral:rRNA from 1 species
GUAGGGAAUAUUGGACAAUGGGCGAAAGCCUGAUCCAGCCAUGCCGCGUGAUAGAUGAAGGCCCUCUGGGUUGUAAAUAUCUUUUAUCUGGGAAGAAACUCCUCUAUUCUUAGAGGCCUGACGGUACCAGAGGAAUAAGCACCGGCUAACUCCGUGCCAGCAGCCGCGGUAAUACGGAGGGUGCAAGCGUUAUCCGGAUUCACUGGGUUUAAAGGGUGCGUAGGCGGGUUGAUAAGUCAGUUGUGAAAGCUCCGGGCUUAACUUGGAAACUGCCAUUGAUACUGUCAAUCUUGAAUGUCGUAGAGGUAAGCGGAAUGUUGCAUGUAGCGGUGAAAUGCUUAGAUAUGUUACAGAACACCAAUUGCGAAGGCAGCUUACUAUGCGAUAAUUGACGCUGAGGCACGAAAGCGUGGGGAGCAAACAGGAUUAGAAACCCCUGUAGUCC